AGACUUAGAACUCUCAUCUCCUCCUGCACCAUGCCUGCCUGGAUGCUGCCAUGCUCCUGCCUUGACAAUAAUGGACUGAACCUCUGAACCUGAAGAGGGUGCUUUCAAGAUCACUGUCCCCAGAGGCAUUAGAUGCUGCUUCUUAGCAUCUUGGACCUUCCUCUGGUGUCUGUUCAAAUGGGUCACUGAGUGACUGAGCUCCCGCUAACAAGAACCCGGAAGCAGAGAGAAAUCCUUGGUUUAGCUCUGGCCUUGAGAGCCUUACAACCUUUCUGGCAAUCAAGCCCAUCAGGAACGUAAGAGGAUUCCAUCUACUUUGGAGUUGAUAAAUGGGCCCUAAAGAGCAGAGGACAUGAGAAUGAUACAUCUCUUCCGCCUUCCAGAAUCCAAAGAGCCCAGCAGUACCAGAGAACAGUGGGAAAGGAGGGAACAGAGAAUCUGGUAAAGGCUACAUUGUAGAAAGUUCUGGAAGCCAGAGUUCUCUAUCUGGCUUAGCUAAGGAGAAAGAAAAAAGGAAUGAUCCCCAUCUCAAAGCAGGAUGUGAUAGUUAAAUUUGCUUUGAACUCUCUUCCCACGGGUGAUCCAGCCUCUGGCCACCCGCCAGAGCUCUCUGGAUUCUCAAAUCAGAGACACAUACACACAUACCAGCUUAAUUUUUAAUAUAUGCCUAACUAGCUCAAUGGUUGGGCACUUCUAAACCUCCCCGUGGCUAGCACACACUCCCCUCCGGUGCUCCUGAUUUAAUAUUUGCUAACUCUAUAUUUUAUGUCUGCUGUCCCAGACCCAGUCAGGGGAGAGAGCCCUGUGGCUGCUUACCCUGAUUCUUACAUUUCAGUGAUCCUUUCAGUCUGAACUUUCUGCUUCCCCAUCGUGGCGAUUCUCUCUGCUCCUCAUUUCUUCCCCCCCCCCCCAUCCCUUGUCCAUGCAAUCUAAAAGUCCCGCCUCUGUCUCCCUAACCAGCCAUUGGCUGUACAGCAGUUCUUUAUUACCAAUCAAAGUCGGCUGGGGGCAGGGACCCCCUGCGUCUGGAAGCACGGCUUUUGGGAGCUGAAUUAAGACAAAGCAUUAGAAUCAUUUCCCAACAGAAGCCAGCGUGUUCUCCCCAUUCCGUCAGAUCGCCAACCCAAUGAAGGAAAGGGUACAAUCUUCACGUCGGUAACGAUGGUCUCAUCCUGUUCAGCUACUUAGCAGCCACACGAUGCUGAGAAAGCCGCAUACGUACACUCUCUGACCGUCAAACUGUUUACUCCACGUGUGAUCUUGCAGCCCUUGGGAGAUUUGAGGCAAUCACUGGGCAAAUGAAUACAGGCUAAUUUGAUGGAUGACGAAAAGCAGCCAUGUAAGUGGUUCUCUUCCAUCUAGCGCCAAUCAGUCGGUCCACCUGACCAACAAAACCGUGAGAAACGAUAAAGGUUUAAAUGU